rnacentral:rRNA from 1 species
AAGCUCGUAGUUGAAUUUCGGGGUCAGUAGGUCGGUCGUGCCACGGGUAUGUACUGGUCUCACUGAUUCCUCCUUCCUGAUGAACCGUAAUGCCAUUAAUUUGGUGUUGCGGGGAAACUGGACUGUUACUUUGAAAAAAUUAGAGUGUUUAAAGCAGGCUAACGCUUGAAUACAUUAGCAUGGAAUAAUGAAAUAGGACGUUCGAUCCUAUUUUGUUGGUUUCUAGGAUUGACGUAAUGAUUAAUAGGGAUAGUUGGG